CAGAGUUGCAAAACUCCCACAAACCAUCGCGAAUCUUACCCGUACGGUUGCCUCGGCGCUGGCGGUCCGGAAGGCCCUCGGGCCCCCCGGAUCCUCGGGUCUCCCGCUCGCGGGAGGCUGCCCGCCGGAGUGCCGAAACUAAACUCUUGAUAUUUUAUGUCUCUCUGAGUAAACUUUUAAAUAAGUCA
rnacentral:misc_RNA from 1 species